AGAGAGAAGAAAAUUGACAUUAAAGGAGAACCAGUAACUAAAGAUGUAUGAUGAAUCAAGAUGUGAUCAUGUGGGUCCUGUUCUGCAGAUGCCAUGAGAUGAUCUGUCUGUCCAUCUGAUAUCACUUGUCCUGAGUAUAUUUUUUCUCCUCUUAGCCCAAUCUCACUCAAAUUUAACUCAUAGAGUGCCUGUGGAUGGAGGGUAAAAAGUGACCUUGGACCAAUUAUCAAGGUCAAAGAUCGCAGAUUGCAGAUGAUGUGAAGAAAAUACAAAGGAAGCUGAUGUUGAAAGAAGUAUAGAGUAUUUAAAGAAGUUUUUAUGAAUGGACUUAGAUGUGAAAGACUACUUCAUUGUGUA